UGUGCUACCUGGGAGAAUACCCUGUCUGACCGGCCUUGACUGCUGUAAUUGUGAUAAUGGUGUUGUACGAGCGGUAGAUGUGAUCAUGUUUCAAUAUCAAACCUGUCCUCCUACAUAAAGGCAUACCCUGUCUGCUGAAGAGCGCAAACUAGACUGAACGCCGUGCGUUGAGAAGUCUCUGAAGAUCAGUCUGCAGUAGUCAGUCAGUUAUCAACCACUCCGUAAGCAAUUGAUCGUGUCCGCUUCAGUUCUUCCUCGCGCACAGAAUGGCCGGCGUUGAGCGGUAUCAGUUGCUAGAAAUGGGGUGCCCAGCGGUGGGCUGCCCUAACGUCUGCAACCCAGUCAACUGGAAAAGCGUCGCUUGUGAUGGUGUGUUGGAGAUCAGCCAGAGGGGGAAUUUGAGAUGCGUUUGCACUAGACGUUCAUCCACGUGUGUUAACGGCAAGCAGAUGUAUUCGUUUAUCUUCGACUGUGGACUUCAAGGACCGGACUCUCCACAUGACCUUGGCCUCAGCCGAUUCCGCGAAGCAGAUCGCCAGAGCAUCAGCCACGCCAUGGCUGCAGCAAUGAAAAUUAAGCGCCAUUCGUCCAACGAUCUGGCAUGGCUGAGCAGCCUUUUGGCCGCCAUAGCAGAGCAAUAUGGAGCACCCCGAUAACUGAUUCGGAUGUAGAAAUAAUAUGCUUGCACUCGGAUGGCGAGCCAAGGAUAAAUUUAUAGAAAAAAAAGGAUCAAGAAACUACAAGUUCCGCUAUAAUGUCCACGAACACCACUCGGUUUUGCAUGAUUCUUGUUCGCAUAGCUUCCCCAUUUAUUGAUCUUCGCAUCUUUGAGCCACACAAGUUGUGUGUUAUGUUGCUUUGCGUCCUUGAAUCGUGGUUUGACCGCAUUUUUCAGUGGUCUUGCCAGUAUCGUCAACGACGUGCAUGAACAUCCGCCAACGUCCUUCACAGCUGAGACUUUCAGCUUGUGCUUGUCUUGGUUGCGCUCGCCUUCUCCUCCUCAUGUUAUUUCUAUAACUUAGAACCUUCCAAGUUGGAAGGCUGUUGGAGUGCGCAUCCAAGAUAUGCUAGAGCUAUUAGCCAGUUAGUUGUAGAACGUCAGUACCGUCGGUCAGUGUCGUGCAAUGUUAUCGCAUGAGCUGAUUGUUUAGUAACUGGUGGUAUUAGUGGACAUAAUAGCGUAACUUGUAGUUUCUUGGUCCUUUUUUCUUUCAUCAUUCUUUCUUCAUGACUAAUACCGCCGAAGUCGCAACUUCUAAGUUCUUCUUUUCUUUACGAUAAAUAACAUGCUGCAGUUUAAAUAACUACAUCGUAUACUUCCGUAACAUAUACUUACAACCCUGACUCGGUCUUGCCCUGCAGAACUGAUUCAAUGAACAGUCAAACGUGUAGUAAUAUUGUGUCUUGACUCUGAAACUAAAAAUACUUUGUUCUACAUGUUGAUCACGACC